GCCGGAGUGGCGAAACGGGUAGACGCAAGGGACUUAAAAUCCCUCGGAAGUUACUUCCAUCCGGGUUCGACUCCCGGCUCCGGCACCA
rnacentral:tRNA from 1 species